GUCAUAAUCUACCCUGUGAAUCUAGAUCCAGCAUUCACACAUCCAAAUGUAAGCGAUAUAUUUUUUCUAUAUCUUCAAACUAUUCAACUACUGGCGUUAGGAUAUCUGAAUAUUCUUUUGAUAAAGUUAUCGAUCUGCGUCUUUUUCUCGCUUGAUAAUCAGCAACACUUUUUUGUGUCGAUUCUAAAAACAAAUUCUCUAUCAUGCUUCUAGAUCCAAAAACUAGCAAAUAUCGGCAACAUUUUAAAACGAAAAACAUUCUAGUAGAAUCAGAUCGGUACCAGUUAGGUGUUCAUUGCAUUUCAAUGGUUUUGUGGGUUUGUGAGAGGCCGCUCUGCCUUACCCUUUCAAAGAAUAACGUUUGGAGAUGAUGGCUAUCUUGACAGAAUUUGCAGAUCUGAUCUGUAGCUCUUGAGGUGCUUGAUCCUUAAAUAUCAAUAAAUACGAGAGGGAGAAACGCAUAGCAAACCAUUUGAAGAACCGAGUAGAUGACGCGUGCGACAGAGAGAAAGAUAAUAUUUUAUCAUGGUCAUCCAUCCAAUCACCACAGCGCGUAGCAGACAUAGCAAUUCUCCUGCUUCCCAUUUUGUUAUUUUCACAAUCCCGGCGAUAAAUGUGUUCGAGAUGGGAUUUGUUGAAAUUAGAUUCAGAGAUCAAACAUUUCCAUAACUUUGAAACGCUCCUAUAACGGAUCAGAUCCCUCACCUCUAACCUUAUCAGUAUUAGUUGAAUCAUUUCCUUUGGCAACUGUGCCAUUGAAACCGUAGAACUGAAUGCCCAAGUUGGAAAAGAGAGAGUGGGUUGCCUGUGAGAAUAUGAAAUAUAUAUAUUUUGGUAUGUGAAAUUUGUAUAUUUUGGUAUGUGAAAUUAGAUGAAAUAUAUGAAUGUAUAUGUAAAAUGUAUAUGCAAUUAUGUAUGUGUGAAUAUGUAUGAAAAAAUGUAUGU